UACAGAGGUCCCAAGCGUUGUUCGGAUUCACUGGGCGUAAAGGGUGCGUAGGUGGUCGGGUAAGUCCGAUGUGAAAUCUCCAGGCUCAACCUGGAAAUGGCAUUGGAUACUAUUCGGCUUGAGGAGUGGAGGGGGGACUGGAAUUCUCGGUGUAGCAGUGAAAUGCGUAGAUAUCGAGAGGAACACCAGUGGCGAAGGCGAGUCCCUGGACACUUCCUGACACUGAGGCACGAAAGCUAGGGGAG
rnacentral:rRNA from 1 species